ACUUGUCAUGGGGCAGUUGUACCCAGUGAAUGAAGCGUGUUGUUAACCGAGAAGUGCGACCUCGUGGGUAGCAGGGAAGAGAUAUGGUGUUGAAAAGGAUCCUUCCUCCUCAAGACGACCGUGGGGCAAGUGAAUACAGUUAUGAAUAUCCAUUCGUGGUCAAAAAAGGUCUCCUCUGACAGAGCCUUGUUGCUGACGACCAUGGAUGACGAGGAUUUUCCAUCCCUUGUGAAUGCGGACGCAGUUAAAAGAUACUUCG
rnacentral:lncRNA from 1 species